CGGUCAGUGGUUACCUGUAGGUCGGUCAGUGGUUACCUUGGUUAACUGUAAGUCGAUCAGUGGUUACCUGUAGGUCAGUCAGUGGUUUUGGUGGUUACCUGUGGGUCAGUCAGUGGUUACCUGUAGGUCAGUCAGUGGUUUUGGUGGUUACCUGUGGGUCAGUCAGUGGUUUUGUCAGUGGUUACCUGUGGGUCGGUCAGUGGUUUUGGUGGUUACCUGUGGGUCGGUCAGUGGUUUUGGUGGUUACCUGUAAGUCAGU